rnacentral:ribozyme from 12 species
CCGCCAUAAUACAUGCAUACAUUGCAACAACACAAAAGCUGCAAGAAGCUUCGUCGUGCAAAAACCAAAAUACCAUGUUUUUGUCACAUUAUUGUAUAUAUAUUAUAUUAUUUCUUUUUUUCCAGUGCUUCCAAGCGCUUU